UCACUGUCACACUAUCAUGACUUACUGGGACACUUGAAUAGAACAGAGCCAUUAUUAAUGUUAUUAAUAACAUUAAUAAUGUCCUCUGCUUUACCUACAACAAGUCAAAAUGUCUGUCGUGAAAAAGGCCUUGCAUGAAGUCCAGUGACAUCACAUAAUUUCCAUCAUAGCUCCACCCAUCUUCACCCUAAUGCUGCGUUCCAGACAAUGUCGAGGUCGGAAUUUCCCAGUUGAAAUUUCUGACUUCCGGAAUCAAAGCGUUCCAGGUGCACGACGUCAAACGUAAACAAAAAACAAGGCUGACCGUGAAAAAAAAGGUUGUUUCUUUGUAGGACGUUGGAAAUUUUCGAGUUCCGAGUUGUCUGGAACGCAGCAUAAGCAGAGGUCUAAUCAGCCAGAAUGAUUGAAAACACCUGUGUGAGCGUUCAUAGAUGUAAGACGGACAGGGAACCUUGGUAACCAGCCCAGGGGAGCCAUGGGGCCAACAAAUAAGACCGUCCCAGUCUGGAGGGCACACCUCAUCUACACCAUGGAGAGGAAGAGUGAGAGGAAGUCAACAUACACAUACUGUCAUCUGCUAUCUGAUGCUGUUCAACCAUUCAAUAUACACCUCUGAUGGAGUCUACUGGCCCCUUAAUUGUUCUGUGUUGACUCAGUUCUAUGAUGUGAUUUGAGUGUUUUGUUUGUUGUUUCACACAGGUAGUAUUCACUAUCUAACUGUUGUACUAGACUGUGUUACAGGAGUAUCUAUUUUUAUAUUCACUCAAUACAGGUAGAUCUCUAAAUGUUGUGAAGACAGCUGUUGUUGAAUGUUGUUAAAGUCAUGUUUU